rnacentral:rRNA from 1 species
AGAGUUUGAUCAUGGCUCAGAUUGAACGCUGGCGGCAGGCCUAACACAUGCAAGUCGAACGGUAACAGGAAGCAGCUUGCUGCUUCGCUGACGAGUGGCGGACGGGUGAGUAAUGUCUGGGAAGCUGCCUGAUGGAGGGGGAUAACUACUGGAAACGGUAGCUAAUACCGCAUAAUGUCGCAAGACCAAAGAGGGGGACCUUCGGGCCUCUUGCCAUCGGAUGUGCCCAGAUGGGAUUAGCUUGUUGGUGGGGUAACGGCUCACCAAGGCGACGAUCCCUAGCUGGUCUGAGAGGAUGACCAGCCACACUGGAACUGAGACACGGUCCAGACUCCUACGGGAGGCAGCAGUGGGGAAUAUUGCACAAUGGGCGCAAGCCUGAUGCAGCCAUGCCGCGUGUAUGAAGAAGGCCUUCGGGUUGUAAAGUACUUUCAGCGGGGAGGAAGGGAGUAAAGUUAAUACCUUUGCUCAUUGACGUUACCCGCAGAAGAAGCACCGGCUAACUCCGUGCCAGCAGCCGCGGUAAUACGGAGGGUGCAAGCGUUAAUCGGAAUUACUGGGCGUAAAGCGCACGCAGGCGGUUUGUUAAGUCAGAUGUGAAAUCCCCGGGCUCAACCUGGGAACUGCAUCUGAUACUGGCAAGCUUGAGUCUCGUAGAGGGGGGUAGAAUUCCAGGUGUAGCGGUGAAAUGCGUAGAGAUCUGGAGGAAUACCGGUGGCGAAGGCGGCCCCCUGGACGAAGACUGACGCUCAGGUGCGAAAGCGUGGAGAGCAAACAGGAUUAGAUACCCUGGUAGUCCACGCCGUAAACGAUGUCGACUUGGAGGUUGUGCCCUUGAGGCGUGGCUUCCGGAGCUAACGCGUUAAGUCGACCGCCUGGGGAGUACGGCCGCAAGGUUAAAACUCAAAUGAAUUGACGGGGGCCCGCACAAGCGGUGGAGCAUGUGGUUUAAUUCGAUGCAACGCGAAGAACCUUACCUGGUCUUGACAUCCACGGAAGUUUUCAGAGAUGAGAAUGUGCCUUCGGGAACCGUGAGACAGGUGCUGCAUGGCUGUCGUCAGCUCGUGUUGUGAAAUGUUGGGUUAAGUCCCGCAACGAGCGCAACCCUUAUCCUUUGUUGCCAGCGGUCCGGCCGGGAACUCAAAGGAGACUGCCAGUGAUAAACUGGAGGAAGGUGGGGAUGACGUCAAGUCAUCAUGGCCCUUACGACCAGGGCUACACACGUGCUACAAUGGCGCAUACAAAGAGAAGCGACCUCGCGAGAGCAAGCGGACCUCAUAAAGUGCGUCGUAGUCCGGAUUGGAGUCUGCAACUCGACUCCAUGAAGUCGGAAUCGCUAGUAAUCGUGGAUCAGAAUGCCACGGUGAAUACGUUCCCGGGCCUUGUACACACCGCCCGUCACACCAUGGGAGUGGGUUGCAAAAGAAGUAGGUAGCUUAACCUUCGGGAGGGCGCUUACCACUUUGUGAUUCAUGACUGGGGUGAAGUCGGAACAAGGUA